rnacentral:sRNA from 14 species
GUUCGGUGGAAACGAGAAUAAAACGUGAAGGAUAACGUUGCGUCAGCAACGGCCCGUAGGGCGAGGCGAAGCCGAGUCAUCCUGCACGACCCACCG